rfam:Oryza rufipogon genomic scaffold, chr07
AAAAAGACAAAUCGUGGUUUCCGUGUCUAACGUUUAACUGUUCGUCUUAUAUGAAAUUUUUUUUAUAAUUAAUAUUUCCAUUAUUGUUAGAUGAUAAAACAUGAUUAAUACUUUGACUUACCUUUUUAAUUUUUUUCAUAAUUUUUUCAAAUAAGACGGACGGUCAAAUUUAGACAUGGAAACCCAAGGUUUGUCCUAUG